CAAAAACCCCCAAUCUCCCCCCCUCGGCCCGCCCUUUUUUUUUUUCCAUUCCCGCUCAGGUUACUAAAAACCCCCAAUCUCUUCAACCAAAAUCCCUAAUCUCUUGAAUCAAAAAUCUCAUUCGACCAAAAAUCCCUAAUCUCUUCUUACGGCUCUCUCUCUCCGGCGAACGGUGGCGGACAACGGUGAGCGGCAGACGACGUCAUCGAGCAACGUGCGACGACUACGAAGUUCCUCAUUUCUUCUCUCUCCUUCUAGACCCUUUGAAGCCUCCUUGCCUUCCAAGUUCGUACAAAACGCCACGGUUUCAUCCGAGUACGAGCAAGAACAGGACCUAUUGAGCGAUACAGAGGAACCCAGUGUUUGAAGGAAGGGGCAGAGGAUUUUAUAGUAAACCUGUUAAAUGAUCGGACGUGAAACGUUUGAAAGAUAAGUCUUCGAUGAUGAUGAUGUUCAUGUUCUUGUAAAGGUAUGAGUCGGCAGAGGAUUGCGCAGAUGACAAUGAUGCUAAGAUUGGGAUUA